CUUAGACCGCUGCGCCACUCGGGAGCCCCAUGCUCUUAAAGAGAGAACAUUAGAGGAGAGUAACUAAGUAUUCAAUCAUUUGUGUGUCUGUCAGCUGAGAGGUCCACGCUGCCUCUCCAGAGGUGUUUAUUUUAACCCUGCUUCCCACUAUACCCUCCCAGUUUUACCCAUGGCCCGGAAGACCAUUCCAAGUAGCCCUCUCAGUAACCCCUCAGCUCCCAUUCCUAGCACCAUAGAGACAACCUAGAGAUCCCCCCCUGAUCCCCAGGACCCUUUUUCCAUGAGUAGUUAGAAUGUCAAAGACGUGUGUGUGAAACCAAUAUACACCCUGAUGAAUGGACAGUCACUUGUAUACACAAUGCACAUCCAAACCUAGAACAGAAGAAGCAGCCUGAUAGUGUGACAGAGCGUAGUCCUGAGUUGCUUGACUCUGUAGUCUUAUCUUCACUCUGCCUAAUACAUCAUUUUGAGCAACGCAAGACAGGAGAUGGAGGUUCUGCAGAAACGAACUUGUGUUAUGGACAGCAGCUACACAUUGGCUGUGUGUGUGCCAUUGCCUAUUACAUGAUUUCUCAGCCAAACUGAGCAUCUGAUCGUGUCCUUUCUCCCCACCAGGUUUCAGCUAAAUUACACUUCUCCAUUGAGUCCCAUUCCAGAGAGCUGGCGCUGGCCAGAUGGGUUAAAUGACUCUGCCAACUCACUAAAGCAGUCUCAUUCUGCUGUGACACACAUUUUUUCUCAUUAUUUUAGACUCAAUCUGCCAGUGUAAGGUGUGGUAUAGGAAUGGGGUGUACCAUCUUAAAGCUGCGCUGUGUAAUUAUGUGUACAGGUGUUUUUGGAGACCUAGAUUUGAACACAAUUUCCAAGAAACCUCCUCUCUCUCUCAUAGGUAGUCUGCAGGGAAUCAUAUGGUACAUCAGCAUCCUCUCUGAACGCAGUUUAGGCUGCUGAAAAUUCGACACUGCAAGUGGAUGCGAUAACCACUACGGUCAAGAUUGAAAAGAUGAAUCGAUUCUAUUUGAUGUCUUCAGAACAGGAUUCCAGUGUUGAAGAGCCUUAGUUCCCAUCUGCUGUGGGUAGAGGAGCUAGAGGAAGGGGGAGAAGAGCAAGAUGUAGAGCUGCAGAAAGAAUCAGGAAGACCGUGAGGGCUGACUGACAGGAGAGGGUGACCCAGAUAAAGGCUAGGUUGAGAAAGCUGUCCUUUGAGGAAAGGGGAAAGGUGCUGGAGCAGUUCGCUACCUGUUCACUUGGCAUGAUGUUUGACAUAAUGGAUUUGCAGAUGGCUAUCCCAGGAUCUCCAGACAUCCCAGACUGAGGACAACCUCGCUGGUGCACCUACCUGAAAUUGACGGGAGAUGCCCGUUGACCUGGGACCGGUUGCACCAGUUGGUCAUAAGUGGUUCAUAACUCUACGUCCAACGUAAAAUUCAUACUAAACUGGACUUAAAAAUUAUACGCGUUGCCCCACUUGGGUGUAAGCCCUUCUAAACUCAGCAAAAAAAGAAACGUCCCUUUUUCAGGAUGCAGUCUUUCAAAGAUCAUUUGUGAAAAUUCAAAUAACUUCACAGA